CUCUUUCCCAUUAUUUUCUUUUUUUUAUUUCAUUGUCUAGUUUGCAUCCUUUAUUAAUUUUAAUUUUAAUAUUAGUUACUUUUUAAUAUUUAAAUAUUUAAUAAUGUUUAUUUUCUGUUUUUUCUGUACAAUGUUGUCAAUAAGUCCGAAGGUUUUCGGCAGUGGUCCAAAUUUCUUUUUUCGUACGCCGCAUGUUUAGGCAAGUUCAUAGGGUCAAGUUUUUGUUGCCAAAUCCAGCAGCUCAGUAAUAAUCUCUGCAAGUUACUUCCUUAUUCUCUUCAACCCUAAUGCUAUAAAAUCAAACCUGCAAAAAAGAAGAAAAGGGGGAGGCCGCACAAAACAUUCAGCGAGAAAUCAAUCAUUUGCAGCCGCAGCUUUCACAAAAAACCCUAAUUUCCUUUCUUCAAUUUUUAGAGUCAAAGCAAACAAAAAUCAUCAAGAAUCAUGAACAACCGAUGAAUGUUCAUCGUGAUCUCUUUUCACCUUCUUUUCGGAACUGAGCAGCAACAAGGAAUAGAGCUUGAAUCGGAUCGCGAAGGGAGAAGAAAGUGACAACAGAAUCGAACCGGAAUACAUACCGAGCCAAACCGGAUCUGAACCGUAGAGGAAGAGGUAAGCCGAACCGGUACGAAAAGUAACAAAGGGUAAGAGUUUUGUUCAUCCUUUUUUCGAAUUUUGUUUUGUAGAUCUAUGUAAAUCCGUGUUUUGUUUUGAAAAUUUAUUUUAAGAAUUGAAACCAGCAUGCAUAAGGAUGUUUAGAACUACAAGAAAUUUUUGAAUCGGAGUAAGUUUGAACUCCGGCGCGGUGGUGCCACCACCGGCCACCGCGCUGGAAAACACUAUCUCGCCGGAGAAGAUGAUAUAAGGGGGCGGUGUUGUUUUUGAGUAGAGAGAGAAGUGAGGGUUUUGAUUUUAGAGAGAGGAGAGAGUAACCGGUUUGAUAGAGAGAGAAGGUCAUGAGCAAAAUGACUUAAAAAUGAAAAUAUACUCUUUUAUAUGCUCUCUGUUGGAUCAGUUCGGUUGAACCGAACCGGUUUCCGAACCGAUCCAACUCUUCCUCCCUAAACCGGUUUACUGAUCCGUAUCCAACCCCAAUCUGUCCUACUUUGGCCCGUAUGUCUAUUUGCUGAACUGAUUUUCUUACUAGCUGAUAUAUCCCUGUUCAUGCUACUGCACCCCUCCCUGUAUAUAUUUUAGUAACUCUUUUAAAACUCAUGCAUCUUAUUGUUAACUAUAUUUCAUGCAUUUUUAAUGCUUUAAUUGUCGUAUUAUUCUUUAUUUUAGUUUUGUUGAGUGAUUUAAAAUUUUUAUUUUGUGCAUUUUCUUAUUCGGUAGUUUAUUUUUAGUAUAUGAUAUUAUCUUAUGUUUUUUUUUUGCAUCAUUACUAAUAUUAUCUCAUGCAUCCUUUAAUUCUUGUCAAUUAUUUUAUUAUCAUUAAAUUGCUUGGUGUGUAUUUAGGAAUUGUGUAAUUUAAUUUGUGCACUUUUUAUUUCUUGCUAUUAUAUUUCUCUUGAGACCAUAGAAUGUAUCUAGGAGUUGAUGUAAUAAUGUAGGUAACACAAGCACCGACACAUGCACCGACACUAUCCCACUUUAUUUACCGCUUUACGCUUAUUUUUAUUGUUUUACGCCGUUACGCUAGUAUACCGUUUAGUUUAGGAAAAAUCAUUUUACCAAAAAAUCAAAUAUGCAAAACUCCAAAAAUAUUUUCUUAAUAAACCUUGGCUUGUAACCCAAGUGUUUUUUCCUUUUAUUUUCUUAAUCAAAUGCUUAAUUGAAUUAAUAUUCAUAGUAGACUUGAUUUUCUUGUAAUUAAAAUUUGACCAACCUCACCUUAUUUUAUCUCACGCCUUGAGGCCUCUUUCCCUUCUAAAAACCCAUUUUCAAAAAUCUUAAAAUCAACCUAACCCACCAAAAAGAAACUUUUUAGGUGAACUACAUUGGUUUUGAUCCCUUUUCUUUAAGGGUAUGUAGGCAUGGGAUUUUUAUCCUUCCAAAUCAAAUAAAAAUAACCAAAAACAUACUUCUNN
rnacentral:lncRNA from 1 species